GCAGGGGAAGGCAGCAGAGGUCAAAGUGCGCUGGCUGCCUUGCGCUUCCUGUGGCAGAGUCUGGGAAGACACCUGGGAGCCGGCCAGCAAAUUUGCCUGAUGACCUUUUUUUUUAUGUUUUGUAUAUUUGUUUUACUAUUUGUUUUGUAUAUUUGGUCAGAAUUAAAUUCACUAUUGUUACAUUUUA